GACGUAGGGCGCAAGCGUUGUCCGGAAUUAUUGGGCGUAAAGGGCUCGUAGGCGGUCUGUCGCGCGGGGAGUGAAAACUCAGGGCUUAACCCUGAGCCUGCUUCCGAUACGGGCAGACUAGAGGUAUGCAGGGGAGAACGGAAUUCCUGGUGUAGCGGUGGAAUGCGCAGAUAUCAGGAGGAACACCGGUGGCGAAGGCGGUUACCUGGAGCUUUGCUGACGCUGAUGCGCGAAAGCGUGGGGAGCGAUCCGG
rnacentral:rRNA from 1 species